UGGAGCAUGUGGUUAAUUCGAAGCAACGCGAAGAACCUUACCAGGUCUUGACAUCCCGAUGCUAUUCUAGAGAUAGAAAGUUACUUCGGUACAUCGGUGACAGGUGGUGCAUGGUUGUCGUCAGCUCGUGUCGUGAGAUGUUGGGUUAAGUCCCGCAACGAGCGCAACCCCUGUCUUUAAUUGCCAUCAUUAAGUUGGGCACUUUAGAGAGACUGCCGGUGUUAAGCCGGAGGAAGUGGGAUGACGUCAAGUCCUCAUGGCCUUUAUGUCUAGGGCUACACACGUGCUACAAUGGGUGGUACAAGGAGUUGCGAUACCGCGAGGUGGAGCUAAUCUCAUAAAGCCGGUCUCAGUUCGGAUUGGAGUCUGCAACUCGACUCCAUGAAGUUGGAAUCGCUAGUAAUCGCGGAUCAGCAUGCCGCGGUCGAAUACGUUCCCGGGCCUU
rnacentral:rRNA from 1 species